GCGGCCGCAGGCUACUGUGACACUUCUCUAUUCGGCUUCAAUGGGAUAAUGAAGUGCGAUCGCAGGUACUAACAGCUCCUACUCCACAUCGCAGGCCUGAGGCCAUGUACUCACAGAAGAAAGAAGCUAUCCUGGGUAAACAGAUUUCACUUGGACUGAAAAUUCUCAGUGUUUAUUCACCGAUUUGUUUUGGGAAAGCUGUUGCAUUGGCUUCCCUGCCAUUAUCGAUUCAAAUACGUCUGCUAAUUAUUUGGAACACAGCUAAGAUUUGCCCAGAUGCUGCAGUUAUCUGGGACUCACCUAAGCAGCGUCACCGACUGGCAAAUGAGGUUCUCCCAUCAGAGAACUCGUGGGAUUCUCCCAAAUUCUCGUGGGAUUACUGGUGCAAGGCUGACUGCUAUGCACAGAAAUGAGGACUUUCCUAUCCCCUAAGGAGAGCCCAAAUGCUCCUAGGUCUGCUCAGAGCUCUUCAAAGAAACAGAGAUUGCCUUCAAAUUAACCAUGGCUUAUUAGUUGUUUCUACCUUUUCCUUUUUUUAGUAACAAACCAGUCAUAAUUAUUAAUCAUGAUUGUUUUGAGUGAAUCUAAUUGCAGUGUUCCCUAAAGCAUAGCAACACUCCCUCCACACCCAGCCAACCAAAAUAGAAAAAUCACAUCCCAAAAAUAGCAGCAAGAGACAGUGAACAAAAUCUGGCCUCCAACAAUUUGUGUCAUUAGACCAGACAGAUCUUUGAGACAAAAAUCAGCUGAGACACUAACACUCUAGAAGAUACUGCAGCCUUCCUACAAAAGCCAGCCAGAGUGUUUUGCAGCAGAAAUCCCCUACAUCCCUCUCUAUGCAAAGGGCUGGCUGGUGCUGACCCAGAAUGACUUUGGAGGGCACAUGGCCAGCCCUCCCUAGGUGAAAGGCAAAUUCACAGCAUCCUACAUGUACCUCCUCUACAAAGCACAGCUGCAGAGACAAAGGUGGAGUUUUUAAUUGAUCUCUGCCGACACAAAGACUAGAAGAUAUCCUACAGUUACUGCGUUUGAUGUAGGAAUGCUGGAGUGAAAUGCCUUUAAUUGAGUUACACUGUAUCACUUGAUGGUCUCUUCUAGAGAUAAUAUAUGUUAUUUCUGGUUCCACAAGUGAGUUGGGGAAAAACACAAAACAUAACAAAUCACCCAGAUCAAGUUAAUAGAUCUGUGUAUAAAAGCCAGGAUUAGAUAAGGUUUUCAGGCACUAAGUCUGGCUGGCAAUUACUGUGUCCCUUGUGAAUACUUAGCUCUGGAUUUAGGAAGUUUACAAACCUAGACAGAUACAAACAUAUUAUCACAGUAUUUUAAGGUCUUCCUACAUCAGAGAUGUUUUUGCCUGGCCCCAGAACCCCAUUCAUGCAAGGAUGAAAAGCUCUCAAAGGACUUACCUGUGGUUAUUUUCCAAAAAUGCUGGGGUUAUAUAUCCUCAAAGCAGUCUUUAAAAAGUAAAGACUCUGCUGUAGCAGAUAAAUGUUUUUAGUGGCUUUCAACAGAAAGGAAUCAAGCUACACUACAGUUUCUCCCAUUCCAGAGCACCAAGACCCACCUGCCUUUUGAAACAGAAGUAAUUCAGGGCAAUGCAUUUCAGCUGUACUUGCAAGGCACGUUAAACGAAACCUGACUUCUAAAAGCUGCCAGGUCUCUUAAAGAGCAGGAAUGAUAACAGUUACAGAUGGGUAAAAGUUAGGAGGUCACUGAGCCCAGCCUGCUGCCAGGCCAGGCAGAGCCCCCAGAGGCAGCCCAAGCCAAGACUUCAACUGAUAUGACAAUUGAUCUUAGCCAAAAGGUCAAGAAGUGAUGAUGGGGAGGGGGCUGAGGACAAAAGUGACUUAGAGCUGUCUCUAUGUCCUCUGCAGAGGAGAUGCAGGCAAACCUCUCUGGAAUAAUACUUAGAAUUUAUCAUGUUAAGCAGAUGGUGUUUGACUUGCUGCUCUUAAUACAUAAUCCUGAAAGGUCUGUUGCAGUUAUCUACUGUAAUAAUAAUGCUGUUUUGCAUGUUGCAAGACACCUGAAGCAGCAUCAAUAAAGUAGUCUCACAGGGCCAGUUUGCUGACACUCUGUUUGUGCCCUUGCUGUACACAAGGUUAUCUUUAAUGGCAGAAAGUAUUUUUUUAUUGCUCUCUGGUGACCUAGAGGAGGCUGUGGAUCCUCUGACCUUACUGCCCAUACAACAUGAGCUUUGGCUGAAGGAUGGUCUAAGCAAAACUUUGCUUUUGUAGUAGGAAAGAUGUAUUUCCUUAUUUCAUCCAGCAGACAGGACUGCAUUCAGUCCUGUCUAUAAUAUGACUUUACCUUUGUCCAUGCCUUGAUUUUCCAAAUUUUGUCAGAAAGGUAGCUUACAUACAUUGCCUCUAUACUAGGCAAUGCUGGGAUUGCAAUUUCUAUCUAAACACCAGUGUGACACACUAAGAUAUUUAUUGAUCAUUGUAAUAAGAAUUUACUGAGAGAAUCUUUUCCUGAGCUGUCAAGAACCACAUCAAAUUUUCAAGAGAAAGAAGAAAUAAUAAAUUUUUAAAAAAUGGCAAUAUUAGAGCUGGCCAAAUUUUCAAACUCAUUCAGAGCUAGUAAUCCUGUUACCAGAGAGUUAAGGGAGACAGGCCAAAACCACCUGCAGAGGUACACAGGCCUUUGCUGGUUUUGCAAGCACUCAUCCCAAACUUUGGCCUUAACAUCCAUGAAAGCCAAACGAGGAGACUUCUUGGGAUCCAGCUCACCCAAAACAAGACUUACAAAGGCAAAGUGAUCAAAACUCAUCACUCAAGUGCUUUCCAAGAUCAGUGGAAGGGGGAAGCAGCAGAGCACAGUUCAACACCCACCUUGGCAGACUCUACCCCGAAUGAUAGGAUCACUGCACGUGACAAUGUAAAUGUCUGCACAGACACUUGACUUCUAUGAAGCUACUACACAUCAGUGGGAAAAUGAAGUCUCUUCUGUGCAACUUGGGCAGCCAAUCCCUGCACAGAGCCAGCUCCUGCUAAGGCAACCAUCCUCAUCUCUUAGAGGUGAUCCCUGCAAGUCCCCACCUUGGCAGGGCAUUGAUGGUGAAGAGACACUAUUCUCCAGAUCUCCACUAUCUUCUGUUACACCCCUAAUGCAAAGAAAGCAGAGUUGUGAAUCCUCCAAGGGCAAAAGAACAAGGCACAGAGGCACCUUCAUCGACUUCUGCAGCAGUUCCUAGAUUACAGCAUCUCCAAGCAGAGUGCAGAACUAACACCUGUUCUCCCCCUCGUGUCUUGGCACUACCUGAACACACAGAAAGGGAAAUACACAAAGACUGCAUGGAGUAGAUUUCAUCCACCACUUUCUGAUGGUUUUCACAACUCUAUCAGAAGAAAACAUGCACAAAACAGGACUAAGCUAUUUCAUGUAAUGCUUUAUGAAUUCCUUUAUAACUCCCUAAAAAUCAGUGUUAAUUCUUCCUCCUGAGUGAAAGACUGGGCCUCACCACUAAAGUCAGUCUAAAGAAAUGAAGUGCUGAGAGAAGAUCUACAUGAGGAGGCUACCCUAAAAAAGUGUCCAAAAGAAUAUUCAGGUUGCAAUUGACACAUCCUGUGGAGGGGAGUAAGGCAACACUUUUUGCAAAGACAGUUCCAAAAGGAUUUACAAAGAGGUGUCACUGAGAGUUUUGAAAUGAGACUCUGCUGUCAAUAUGUGCUCUACUGCUCCUUUCCUCCUAUGAGGAGUUUCACCAGCCUGUUACAUACCUUAUCAAAACCUUAAUUUCAUUUGAAAAAUUGAGUAGGUGCUUCUUCAUUGAACUCUCUCUGCAGAAGGGUCCUGAAUGUUAGCACAAUGCCCUCUAACAGCUAAGAUUUAGCACACAAAGACAAAUAUAAAAAGAAAAGCAUUUCACAAGAAUUUACUGGAACAUAAAAAAUUUCUAUGCAGAUGCACAAACAUACCUGUAAGAUGAGCUUUGCCACUGUGUAGUGGUUCAAGAAGAUUCUGCUACAGUAUUUACUCACAGAGAAGCAGCACAGCUCUUUGUGAGGAAGAGUUCUUCCAAUUCAAACUGAGACGUUCCAGAGCAGAGGUCCAGCCUGCAUGAAGGUAUUGAUAAACUAAUCACAGAAAUUUAAUCACCUCUAAACAAAAGUUAUUUGACCAAUUAUCAGCUGACACUCAGUACACGCCUUUUUGCAGUCCCUGCAAAUGAAACACAAGAGUAUUAUUUAGCCAAAAUGGGACUCAUUGUUCUGAACAGCUCAUAUGCCUGUAGAGUCCCUUCCAAGCUAAAGAGCCUGAAGUCAUGCAGGGGCUCCCUGAAGCAGCACUUAUCUGGUCACACACAUCUAGAUGACAGCACUGUUGUUCUCAUUAGGAUGACAACUUCUGGUACUGACAAGUGACUCUUGAAAUGUUAUUCCUUGCUGAAGCAGUUUUGAAUGUAAGAGACUGAAAAACAAGGGGAUAUUCUCGGUAGAAUAAUCAGCUUUUUUUAAUUGAAAAUUCACAUAUACAGCCUGGAUGCAAUUGGAUGCAAACAAAGAGCUUCAUAUAAUACAGUGCCUUUUGGUCUGAUCUCACAGUCACUUAUAUAUACACCAGCUGAAUUGUACAGUGCAAAUGCUCCCAUGUCUCUUCCUGACACUGGAUUAAAAAUUAAGACAGUCCAGCCUGAGACUUUUUUUGACUUUUUUUUUUUUUUCCAGAGGCACCAAAGGCGGCUUUCUUAGUCACUCAGUCUUGAGA